UAAAGACUAAAUUGUAUGCAGUUGGAACUUUUGCCUUCGUUGCCGCUAGGGGUUCCAACUGCAUAUAAAUUUGAGUUA
rnacentral:pre_miRNA from 1 species